rnacentral:rRNA from 1 species
GUCUAUAGCCAUGCCACCCUGAACAAGCCUGAUGUCUAAUCUUGGAAACUAAGCAGGGGCAGGCCUGGUUAGUACUUGGAUGGGAGACCACCUAGGAAGACCAGGUGCUGUAGGCG